AUUGAACGCUGGCGGCAUGCCUUACACAUGCAAGUCGAACGGAAACGGGCCUUCGGGUGCCGACGAGUGGCGAACGGGCGCGUAAUACAACGGAACGUGUACGAUCGUGGGGGAUAACGAGGCGAAAGCUUAGCUAAUACCGCAUACGAUCUAAGGAUGUAAGCCGGGGACCGCAAGGCCUUGCGCGGACGGUGCGGCCGAUGGCAGAUUAGGUAGUUGGUGGGAUAAAAGCUUACCAAGGCGACGAUUUGUAGCUGGUCUGAGAGGAUGAUCAGCCACACUGGAACUGAGACACGGCCCAGACUCCUACGGGAGGCAGCAGUGGGGAAUUUUCGGCAAUGGGCGCAAGCCUGAUCCAGCCAUGCCGCGUGCAUGAUGAAGGCCUUCGGGUUGUAAACUGCUUUUGUACGGAACGAAAAGCCUUCUUAUAAUACAGGAGGGUCUUGACGGUACCGGAAGAAUAAGCACCGGCUAACUACGUG
rnacentral:rRNA from 1 species